rnacentral:rRNA from 1 species
GGUUAAGCGACUAAGCGUACACGGUGGAUGCCCUGGCAGUCAGAGGCGAUGAAGGGCGUGCUAAUCUGCGAUAAGCGCCGGUAAGGUGAUAUGAACCGUUAUAACCGGCGAUACCCGAAUGGGGAAACCCAGUGUGAUUCGUCACACUAUCAUUAACUGAAUCCAUAGGUUAAUGAGGCGAACCGGGGGAACUGAAACAUCUAAGUACCCCGAGGAAAAGAAAUCAACCGAGAUUCCCCCAGUAGCGGCGAGCGAACGGGGAGGAGCCCAGAGCCUGAAUCAGCAUGUGUGUUAGUGGAAGCGUCUGGAAAGGCGCGCGAUACAGGGUGACAGCCCCGUACACAAAAGCGCAUGUGCUGUGAGCUCGAUGAGUAGGGCGGGACACGUGGUAUCCUGUCUGAAUAUGGGGGGACCAUCCUCCAAGGCUAAAUACUCCUGACUGACCGAUAGUGAACCAGUACCGUGAGGGAAAGGCGAAAAGAACCCCGGCGAGGGGAGUGAAAAAGAACCUGAAACCGUGUACGUACAAGCAGUGGGAGCCCCACCCUUCGGGGUGUGACUGCGUACCUUUUGUAUAAUGGGUCAGCGACUUAUAUUCUGUAGCAAGGUUAACCGUAUAGGGGAGCCGGAGGGAAACCGAGUCUUAAUUGGGCGUUAAGUUGCAGGGUAUAGACCCGAAACCCGGUGAUCUAGCCAUGGGCAGGUUGAAGGUUGGGUAACACUAACUGGAGGACCGAACCGACUAAUGUUGAAAAAUUAGCGGAUGACCUGUGGCUGGGGGUGAAAGGCCAAUCAAACCGGGAGAUAGCUGGUUCUCCCCGAAAGCUAUUUAGGUAGCGCCUCGUGAAUUCAUCUCCGGGGGUAGAGCACUGUUUCGGCUAGGGGGCCAUCCCGGCUUACCAACCCGAUGCAAACUGCGAAUACCGGAGAAUGUUAUCACGGGAGACACACGGCGGGUGCUAACGUCCGUCGUGAAGAGGGAAACAACCCAGACCGCCAGCUAAGGUCCCAAAGUCAUGGUUAAGUGGGAAACGAUGUGGGAAGGCCCAGACAGCCAGGAUGUUGGCUUAGAAGCAGCCAUCAUUUAAAGAAAGCGUAAUAGCUCACUGGUCGAGUCGGCCUGCGCGGAAGAUGUAACGGGGCUAAACCAUGCACCGAAGCUGCGGCAGCGAACGUAUCACCCAAGACAACUUUACGGAGUUGACGAUUGACGGAGCGAAGCGACGUCAAAGCGUUCAUUAAAGUCGAGUUGGCUUAGGGAUACGUUCGUUGGGUAGGGGAGCGUUCUGUAAGCCUGUGAAGGUGUGUCGUGAGGCAUGCUGGAGGUAUCAGAAGUGCGAAUGCUGACAUAAGUAACGAUAAAGCGGGUGAAAAGCCCGCUCGCCGGAAGACCAAGGGUUCCUGUCCAACGUUAAUCGGGGCAGGGUGAGUCGACCCCUAAGGCGAGGCCGAAAGGCGUAGUCGAUGGGAAACGGGUUAAUAUUCCCGUACUUGGUGUUACUGCGAAGGGGGGACGGAGAAGGCUAUGUUGGCCGGGCGACGGUUGUCCCGGUUUAAGCGUGUAGGUGUGUGUUCCAGGUAAAUCCGGUUCACUUUAACACUGAGGCGUGACGACGAGGCACUACGGUGCUGAAGCAACAAAUGCCCUGCUUCCAGGAAAAGCCUCUAAGCAUCAGGUAACAUCAAAUCGUACCCCAAACCGACACAGGUGGUCAGGUAGAGAAUACCAAGGCGCUUGAGAGAACUCGGGUGAAGGAACUAGGCAAAAUGGUGCCGUAACUUCGGGAGAAGGCACGCUGACACGUAGGUGAAGUGAUUUACUCAUGGAGCUGAAGUCAGUCGAAGAUACCAGCUGGCUGCAACUGUUUAUUAAAAACACAGCACUGUGCAAACACGAAAGUGGACGUAUACGGUGUGACGCCUGCCCGGUGCCGGAAGGUUAAUUGAUGGGGUCAGCGCAAGCGAAGCUCCUGAUCGAAGCCCCGGUAAACGGCGGCCGUAACUAUAACGGUCCUAAGGUAGCGAAAUUCCUUGUCGGGUAAGUUCCGACCUGCACGAAUGGCGUAAUGAUGGCCAGGCUGUCUCCACCCGAGACUCAGUGAAAUUGAACUCGCUGUGAAGAUGCAGUGUACCCGCGGCAAGACGGAAAGACCCCGUGAACCUUUACUAUAGCUUGACACUGAACAUUGAGCCUUGAUGUGUAGGAUAGGUGGGAGGCUUUGAAGUGUGGACGCCAGUCUGCAUGGAGCCGACCUUGAAAUACCACCCUUUAAUGUUUGAUGUUCUAACGUGGACCCGUUACCCGGGUUGCGGACAGUGUCUGGUGGGUAGUUUGACUGGGGCGGUCUCCUCCUAAAGAGUAACGGAGGAGCACGAAGGUUGGCUAAUCCUGGUCGGACAUCAGGAGGUUAGUGCAAUGGCAUAAGCCAGCUUGACUGCGAGCGUGACGGCGCGAGCAGGUGCGAAAGCAGGUCAUAGUGAUCCGGUGGUUCUGAAUGGAAGGGCCAUCGCUCAACGGAUAAAAGGUACUCCGGGGAUAACAGGCUGAUACCGCCCAAGAGUUCAUAUCGACGGCGGUGUUUGGCACCUCGAUGUCGGCUCAUCACAUCCUGGGGCUGAAGUAGGUCCCAAGGGUAUGGCUGUUCGCCAUUUAAAGUGGUACGCGAGCUGGGUUUAGAACGUCGUGAGACAGUUCGGUCCCUAUCUGCCGUGGGCGCUGGAGAACUGAGGGGGGCUGCUCCUAGUACGAGAGGACCGGAGUGGACGCAUCACUGGUGUUCGGGUUGUCAUGCCAAUGGCACUGCCCGGUAGCUAAAUGCGGAAGAGAUAAGUGCUGAAAGCAUCUAAGCACGAAACUUGCCCCGAGAUGAGUUCUCCCUGAGACUUAAAGUCUCCUGAAGGAACGUUGAAGACGACGACGUUGAUAGGCCGGGUGUGUAAGCGCAGCGAUGCGUUGAGCUAACCGGUACUAAUGAACCGUGAGGCUUAACCUU